rnacentral:lncRNA from 1 species
AAACAAUUUGUCCUUUAGUGUUUUUGGGCCCUUACGUAAAAAUGUAAACUUUCGGGUCAAAGUACAAAUACACAAAAGUAUCAAAACUUUAUGUAAUUGCAUAAAAGCCCCAAAAGUACCCUAUUUUAAUAGGGUGGCCGGUUGGUGAGAGUGAAAUAGGAGGGGGGGAAAGGUUUUGGUGAAAAAUUCAAAAAUUUGAAAGUGUUUUGUGCAAGUGAAUAGGCAGGUGAGGAAAAGUUGAUUGGGAUGGGUUGUAAGAAAAAUGUUUUGUCAAACAAUAAAGGCAUAAACCAUCCAUCACCAAUCAAUAAUAAACCAAAACUUUAUUCAAAGCAACAAGCAUAUUGAAUCAAAACACCAAAACUUUUUGUUCUUGGUAAGAACAUCAAGAACAUUGAAGAACACACAUGAAAACUCAUAAGAGCUCCAUGAAUGUUUUCACUCAAUAAAAUUCAAAAUUUCACUACUCAAAAGGGGGUUAACAUCCUAGGGUACUUAGGGGUUCCAAAAGUCACCUUAAAACACUUUUAACAAGACAAACAAGAACCCAAAAAACCACCCUUUGGAUUUGGCCGAAUUUCCCCAAAAACAUGACACCAAAUUUUAGCUCCAAAAUUCAUGCUCAUAUGAACUACAUCUACAACAUUUGAGAUGGCAAAUUUU